rnacentral:rRNA from 1 species
GAUGAACGCUAGCGAUAGGCUUAACACAUGCAAGUCGAGGGGCAGCACAAGGUAGCUUGCUAUCUGGGUGGCGACCGGCGCACGGGUGCGUAACGCGUAUGCAACUUGCCCUAUACAGGAGGAUAACCCGUCGAAAGACGGACUAAUACUGCGUAUGCUCACAACUUGGCAUCAAGUGGUGAGGAAAGAAAUUCGGUAUAGGAUAGGCAUGCGUCCCAUUAGCUUGUUGGUGAGGUAACGGCUCACCAAGGCAACGAUGGGUAGGGGAACUGAGAGGUUUAUCCCCCACACUGGUACUGAGACACGGACCAGACUCCUACGGGAGGCAGCAGUUAGGAAUAUUUGUCAAUGGGCGCGAGCCUGAACCAGCCAAGUCGCGUGAAGGAAGACCGUCUUAUGGAUUGUAAACUUCUUUUAUACGGGAAUAACAAGAGUCACGUGUGACUCCCUGCAUGUACCGUAUGAAUAAGCAUCGGCUAACUCCGUG